GUGGGAGCGGGCUUGCUCGCGAAUGCGGUGUGUCAGUCAAUAUUUUAGGUGACUGAUACGCCGCAUUCGCGAGCAAGCCCGCUCCCAC
rnacentral:misc_RNA from 1 species